rnacentral:rRNA from 1 species
UACGAAGGGGGCUAGCGUUGUUCGGAAUUACUGGGCGUAAAGGGCGCGUAGGCGGCGAAGCAAGUUAGGCGUGAAAGCCCCGGGCUCAACCUGGGAAUUGCGCUUGAUACUGCUUUGCUUGAGUUCGGGAGAGGUGAGUGGAAUUCCCAGUGUAGAGGUGAAAUUCGUAGAUAUUGGGAAGAACACCAGUGGCGAAGGCGGCUCACUGGACCGAUACUGACGCUGAGGCGCGAAAGCGUGGGGAGCAAACAGG